CCUACGGGAGGCAGCAGUGGGGAAUAUUGGACAAUGGGCGAAAGCCUGAUCCAGCAACGCCGCGUGAGGGAUGACGGCCUUCGGGUUGUAAACCUCUUUCAGCGCAGACGAAGCGAAAGUGACGGUAUGCGCAGAAGAGGCACCGGCCAACUACGUGCCAGCAGCCGCGGUAAUACGUAGGGUGCGAGCGUUGUCCGGAAUUAUUGGGCGUAAAGGGCUCGUAGGCGGUUUGUUGCGUCGGGAGUGAAAACUCAGGGCUUAACCCUGAGCCUGCUUCCGAUACGGGCAGACUAGAGGUAUGCAGGGGAGAACGGAAUUCCUGGUGUAGCGGUGAAAUGCGCAGAUAUCAGGAGGAACACCGGUGGCGAAGGCGGUUCUCUGGGCAUUACCUGACGCUGAGGAGCGAAAGUGUGGGGAGCGAACAGGAUUAGAUACCCUGGUAGUCCACACCGUAAACGUUGGGCGCUAGGUGUGGGACUCAUUCCACGAGUUCCGUGCCGCAGCUACGACAUAAGACGCCCGCCGUCGGGAGGUACGGCCGCGACGGACGUAAACUAACAANAGAAGUUAGACGGCGUGAGACGUGCCGAACGGACGACGACGAGGGAGGUAGG
rnacentral:rRNA from 1 species